rnacentral:rRNA from 1 species
AGUGAACGCUGGCGGUAGGCCUAACACAUGCAAGUCGAACGGCAGCACAGUAAGAGCUUGCUCUUACGGGUGGCGAGUGGCGGACGGGUGAGGAAUACAUCGGAAUCUACUUUUUCGUGGGGGAUAACGUAGGGAAACUUACGCUAAUACCGCAUACGACCUACGGGUGAAAGCAGGGGAUCUUCGGACCUUGCGCGAUUGAAUGAGCCGAUGUCGGAUUAGCUAGUUGGCGGGGUAAAGGCCCACCAAGGCGACGAUCCGUAGCUGGUCUGAGAGGAUGAUCAGCCACACUGGAACUGAGACACGGUCCAGACUCCUACGAGAGGCAGCAGUGGGGAAUAUUGGACAAUGGGCGCAAGCCUGAUCCAGCCAUACCGCGUGGGUGAAGAAGGCCUUCGGGUUGUAAAGCCCUUUUGUUGGGAAAGAAAAGCAGCAGGUUAAUACCCCGCUGUUCUGGCGGUACCCAAAGAAUAAGCACCGGCUAACUUCGUG